rnacentral:lncRNA from 1 species
CUCUGGAGUUUUUGCAGAUUUUCAAAUAAAACUCAGAGAUUCCUUGUAUGACUCUCUCAUAUCUCUCUUUUGUGGUAUUUCUGGAUCCUUACCAAGGCAGUGAUGGUAUAUGCCCUCUCUCAAAGUACGUGGUAUUUGUGGCAUAAGGCAUAGUGAUAUUGCCUUCUCUCUCACCCUACUCUAAUAAGGCUUUAAUAUCUGGAGCUCAUAGGUGGGAGAUAAAAUAUACAUACUUACAAGACAUUUAUUGUAUAGUCAAACCAUGGAUCCAAAGAAACAAGUCAAUAAGUUCAAUCAUGGUGAUAACAAUGGUGAAAGUCUAAUUCUACUUAUGCUCUUUUGAGGGGAUAUAUACCUUUCUUGCUUUUUGAAACAUUGUGAGGAGAAUGAGAUGCUCUAUAUUUUCUUUUUCUUUCCUCUCAGGUGGGUAUCUUGUACCCCUAAUUCUACUGUCGGACACUUGUCCAUUUUUACCUCGUGUCUCACUUUUUCCAUUUUUUCUUUUGAGGUUCCGGGCACUUGCCCCUUUUUAUUUCCUCGUAUCUCUCUUUUUUUAGAGCACUCAUCUCUUGAGAUAAUAUAGCAAGUGGUAGUAAUAAGAUAACUUGAGCAUUUAUUUCAUAGGGGAAAACAUAAAUAUUUUUGGCCAUUCUCUUCCGGAUUAGGAGUAGAAUGUUUUUAGGUGAUUCUGGAGAUGGAAAUGGGUGAAUAUAUGUGGAUGGUACUUCCGGAGUAGAAGUAGCAUGUGUGAGUGAACGUGCAAGUGAAUCUUGAUUUAACCACAUGACAAGCUCCUAAGGGUCUACACAGCUUGACCACACUCAAUGCUCAUAAGCAGUAAAUAGUAAAUAUGUG